rnacentral:lncRNA from 1 species
CCUGUGCUAUCUGUGCCUUACCAGUCUCACCAACAAUAAGCCUGGUGACUGACAAUCGAGAGGGGGCUCUGUCCACGUAGGUGCCGGCACAAGCUGAGGACAUGAGUGGGACAGAGGAACCAGCCUUGCACGGAGGAAGCACCUUUUCCUUCUGGUGAUUGAUUGAUGGGGGACAGUGAGGAGGUUUUCAGAGACUGGAAAAAAUUGUCCCAGUCACUUACUAUGAAGUCUUUGUCAGCAGAAAAGACUCUCCGGGGUAGAGAAUGAUAUAAUGCAGAUGACAAAUGACAGGACCCUAUCUGCAGAUGUUCUGAAUACCUCUGAGAAUAGAGAUUGAUUAUUCAACCAGGAUACCUAAUUCAAGAACUCCAGAAAUCAGGAGACGGAGACAUUUUGUCAGUUUUGCAACAUUGGACCAAAUACAAUGAAGUAUUCUUGCUGUGCUCUGGUUUUGGCUGUCCUGGGCACAGAAUUGCUGGGAAGCCUCUGUUCGACUGUCAGAUCCCCGAGGUUCAGAGGACGGAUACAGCAGGAACGAAAAAACAUCCGACCCAACAUUAUUCUUGUGCUUACCGAUGAUCAAGAUGUGGAGC